AUAUGGUGGUGUUGGCUGGUCAAUCAUCAUUCUAAAUGCUAAAGUCACAUCUUCAAACGCCAUAAAUGUCACCAACGCAGUUCCCUUUCCAGCAAACGUGUUAUCUUUUAAUGCCUAGUGCAUUUGAAAGGUCAUGGGUAGAUAUAUAUCUUAAGCUUUUUCCCCUUCCAAAUGCAAACCAAAGUUUGUCUGCCCCUAUGUCACGGAAUAGCGAAACAGCAAUGACAUCAGUAUCGACUGUUCUCAGUUAAGUCUGUGUUUCACUGCAUCAGACACAUCGAUCUUGAUUCUAGUGUCAGUCUCUUCGUGUAAACAUGGUGCUAAACUUGAAACAUCAUCAAGUG
rnacentral:lncRNA from 1 species